rnacentral:rRNA from 1 species
GAUGAACGCUGGCGGCGUGCCUAAUACAUGCAAGUCGAGCGAACAGACGAGGAGCUUGCUCCUCUGACGUUAGCGGCGGACGGGUGAGUAACACGUGGAUAACCUACCUAUAAGACUUGGAUAACUUCGGGAAACCGGAGCUAAUACCGGAUCAUAUAUUGAACCGCAUGGUUCAAUAGUGAAAGACGGUUUUGCUGUCACUUAUAGAUGGAUCCGCGCCGCAUUAGCUAGUUGGUAAGGUAACGGCUUACCAAGGCAACGAUGCGUAGCCGACCUGAGAGGGUGAUCGGCCACACUGGAACUGAGACACGGUCCAGACUCCUACGGGAGGCAGCAGUAGGGAAUCUUCCGCAAUGGGCGAAAGCCUGACGGAGCAACGCCGCGUGAGUGAUGAAGGUCUUCGGAUCGUAAAACUCUGUUAUUAGGGAAGAACAAAUGUGUAAGUAACUAUGCACGUCUUGACGGUACCUAAUCAGAAAGCCACGGCUAACUACGUG